rnacentral:rRNA from 1 species
ACCUGACUGCUAUCGGAUUGGUACUAAGCCAUGCGAGUCAUUGUAGCAAUACAAGGCGGACGGCUCAGUAACACGUAGUCAACCUAACUCGUGGACGUGGAUAACCUCGGGAAACUGAGAAUAAACCACGAUAGAUCAUAGUGCCUGGAAUGGCUUAUGGUCCAAACAGUUUACUGCCAUGGGAUGGGACUGCGGCCUAUCAGCUUGUUGGUGAGGUAAUGGCCCACCAAGGCGAUUACAGGUACGGGCUCUGAGAGGAGAAGCCCGGAGAUGGGUACUGAGACACGGACCCAGGCCCUAUGGGGCGCAGCAGGCGAGAAACCUUAGCAAUGUGCGAAAGCACGACUGGGUCAGUCCGCGUGAUUCCUGAUAAAGGAGUCUUUUGCCUGUCCUAAAAGCACAGGUGAAUAAGGGGUGGGCAAGUCUGGUGUCAGCCGCCGCGGUAAUACCAGCACCUCGAGUGGUCAGGACGUUUAUUGGGCCUAAAGCAUCCGUAGCCGGCUCUGCAAGUCUUCGGUUAAAUCCACCUGCUCAACAGAUGGGCCGCUGGAGAUACUACAGAGCUAGGGAGUGGGAGAGGCAGACGGUAUUCAGUGGGUAGGGGUAAAAUCCUCUGAUCCAUUGAGGACCACCAGUGGCGAAGGCGGUCUGCCAGAACACGUUCGACGGUGAGGGAUGAAAGCUGGGGGAGCAAACCGGGUUAGAUACCCGGGUAGUCCCAGCUGUAAACGAUGCAAACUCGGUGAUGCAUUGGCUUAUGGGCCAAUGCAGUGCCGCAGGAAGCCGUUAAGUUUGCCGCCUGGGAAGUACGGACGCAAGU